rnacentral:lncRNA from 1 species
GGAGCAUCUGGCACAGUGAAGACAGAGGUGGGGUCCUGAGUCAAUAUCACAGGAAGGUCUCCUGGAGGACACAGGUGGGGCUGCUUCCCUGAUGGGCUGUGCGGGCCAGAGUCAUGGCGUCCUUGUCUCUGCUGUACCGCAGCACACAUUCCUCAGCUUCUCAGGAGACAAGCCAGUGAUCACGAGGUGGUCCUGCAAACACAGAGCUGGUGAAGGAUUUGGAGUGACUCAGCCCUGACCACCCGGUGUUUCUCUCUGGAAGUAGUGCUCAGCAUCUGCACAAAUCCACUGUGUCCUCUGUCUUCAGAAGUCCUAUCCGGCGUUGCAGGAACUUUGAAUUGUUGCAACUGCUUGUCCAGUCCAGCCUUGCGAAAAGAAAGAGCUCGUGGCAACCUCAUCUCCACAAGUGUGGAGCUUCAUGCAUGCCCCCGACCUUUAAAGAGUAAUAUACCUCUCCUGUCACAAAGAUCCCUGUCUUCAAAAGAUGUUUCAAGACCAGCACAGUGGCCGAGCAUGGUGGCUAAUGCCUAUAAUCUCAACACUUUGGGAGGCCAAGGUAGACGGAUCACCUGAGGUCACGACUUCAAGAACAGCCUGACCAACAUGGUGAAACCCUGUCCCUACUAAAAAUACAAAAAUUAACCAGGCAUGAUGGUGGGCACGUGUAAUCCCAGCUCUCCAGAGGCUGAAGCAGGAGAAUCAUUUGAACUCAGGAGGCAGAGGUUGCAGUGAGCCGAGAUCACGCCCUUGCACUCCAGUCUGGGUGACAGAAUGAGACCGUCAAAAAAAUACAUAUAUUUUUCCCAUUAAGCAUUAUUUUGUUUAUCUAUUUGCUUUGUUUCCAGCCUUGGCAUGAAUUUAAGUGCUACCUUGUCAGAUACUCAUUCUCUCUCCAUGUUUACAUCUGUUUCUGGACUUUCCCGUGUACUACUCAUCUAUCUGUUCUACCAUAUAGUAAGGCAAAGACCACCUCACUAUUCUUCUAUAAUAUGUGUCCAUCUAUUCUCAGACUUAUUCUUCCAUAUAAGUCUUCAAAACAUUUAGUUCAGUUCUCUCUCCCUCUCCCCAAAACCUGUUGGGUAUUAUUUGAAAUGUUAUUCUAUUCAUUUGUUUAUUUGUGACGUGGAAAUCCCUGAGACGAGACAGCUGGAGAAGAAUAUCUCAAAUUCUGUGUAAAAACUAAUCUAAGUUCCAAGGUUCACCCCUAAACUAUGCAUGUGCAGAACAUGCCCAAAGAUGCAUAGCAAAGGCUCUGAGAAUGAAACUAAAAUGUAAAUAUAAAUCAACAUCCAAGUCCCAGACCAACCCCUGAGUGGUACAUGAAGGAACAGACCCAAACAGCAGAGCAAAGUCUUCCAAAACUGAACUGACUCAUGUGGGAAUCCAUAGAAGAUGAGACAGAACUUGUGGUCUGAAUCUCGCUGGGUGGGUGGCCUGUUAAAACAAAGAAACAAACGAAAAUCAACAUUAACCAGCUCAUCACUGUGGCUCACGCCUGUAAUCCCAACAUUUUGGGACACCGAGGUGGGUGGAUGGCUUAGGCCCAGGAGUUAGAGACCAGCUUGGGCAACAAAGUGAGACCUCCAUCUCUACCAAAACAUAAAAAAUAAAAAAAAUUAGCCAGGCAUGGUGGCUUGCACAUGUGGUCCCAGCUACUCAGGAGGCUGAGGAGGGAGAACUUUUGUAGUCAAGGAGGCAGAGGUUGCAGUGAGCCAAGAUCUUGCCACUGCUCUCUAGCUCUGACAACAGAGCUAGACCCUGUGUAAGAAAAAAAAAAACAGAAAACAAAAAAAAAAAAGAAAGAAAAAGAAAAGAAAAAAAGAAAAUCAACAAUAUCCAGAAGAUAUAACAGAACUCAGAGCCUCAGAACAAAAUAUUCAGAAUAUAAAGAACCAGGAAAAUCUGAUAAGUUCUAUCAGUUCUCAAGGGGAAAGACAAUCAACAGAUGCCAGCCCCAGUGUUGGGAUUACCAAAGACUUUAAAGCUGUUAUUAUAAUCAUUCUUCAAGGAGAAAAGGUGAACAUUCUUGAGAGAAAGGUAGACAUUUAAAAGAUGAUUAGGUCAUGAUGGUCUGCCCUCAUGAAUAGAUUAAUGUCACUAUCAUGGGAGUGGGUUCAUUAUCUCAAGAGUGGAUUUGUUAUAAAAGUGAGUUCAGGGCUGGGUGUGGUGGCUCAUGCCUGUAAUCCCAGCACUUUGGGACGCCGAGGUCAUGGAGGAUCACCUGAGAUCAGGAGUUUGAGACCAGCCUGGCCAACAUGGAAAAACCUCGUCUCUACUAAAAGUACAAAAUUAGCCAGGUAUGAUGGUGCACGCCUGUAAUCCCAGCUACUCAGGAGGCUGAGGCACAAGAAUUGCUUGAGCCUGGGAGGCAGAGGUUGCAGUGAGCCGAUAUCGCACCACAGCAUUCCAGCCUGGGUGACAGGGUGAGACUCUGUCUCAAAAAAAAAAAAAAAAAAAAAAUGAGAUCAACGAGUUCAGCCCUCUCUUGGCUCCUCCUCUCCCUCCCCAACCACACACAAACAUGCAACCACAGACUCUCCUGCCCUUCUGCCUUCCACCAUAGGAAUGACAAGGCCAAAAAAAGAGAAGGCCUUCACCAGAGGUGGCCCCUCAAUCUUGGACUUCCCAGCCUCCAGAACCACAAGCCAAAUAAAUUUCUUCUUUUGAUAAAUCACGCAGUCACGGGUAUUCUGUUAUAGUAAUACAAAACAGACUAAGACAGCCCAUAUGCUUUCAUUUUCCAAAAUUGUGUUGACAUAUUUUGACUUCUGUCAUAUUUUUCCCUUCUCUUUAACCCUGUGAGUUUAUGGUCCUUUUAUUUCUUUACUGUUAUUACAGUGGGGAUUUGGGAGGGAACAGAUAAAUGCAUAUUCAGUCUUUUGUGUUUACUUACACAAGCUCUUCUUUAAUCAAGUCUACAACAUAAAUAUAGUUUAGCAAACGAAUACUACUUUCUCAUGAAUGCAUAUAAGUUUAUCUCUGGGGCCAGGUUCUCUGACAGAAAAUAUAGGUGUUUACCAGUCACGUUCCCAAUAAUUGUCUCCAUGAAAGCCAUUGGAUUUUUCUGUUCCAAGGGAGACACACUUAAAAGGAUUGCCACAUGGUUUCCAGUCCAGCUGCCAGAAUUGCCAGUGCUACUUGGGCUGUGAUGAAACAGAGUUCACACAGUCUGACAGACAAGUGGUUUUACACGGGGGCUGUGAGAGCUGGGGCAGCCCACUGACAGUGGUAAGCUAGCAACCUGGCAAAAGAGUUGUGGGUUUCUGUAUGUCUAUGAGUAGCAUCCCAGUAUUCACACAUAUAAUCAGCACCCAAAAAUGCCUUUUCAUUACCUAUAUCGUAAUCACCCC